rnacentral:rRNA from 1 species
CACUGGGANUGAGACACGGCCCAGACUCUACGGGAGGCAGCAGUGGGGAAUAUUGCACAAUGGGCGCAAGCUGAUGCAGCGACGCCGCGUGAGGGAUGACGGCNUUCGGGUUGUAAACCUCUUUCAGCAGGGAAGAAGCGCAAGUGACGGUACCUGCAGAAGAAGCACCGGCUAACUACGUGCCAGCAGCCGCGGUAAUACGUAGGGUGCGAGCGUUGUCCGGAAUUAUUGGGCGUAAAGAGCUCGUAGGCGGCUUGUCACGUCGGAUGUGAAAGCCCGGGGCUUAACCCCGGGUCUGCAUUCGAUACGGGCAGGCUAGAGUUCGGUAGGGGAGAUCGGAAUUCCUGGUGUAGCGGUGAAAUGCGCAGAUAUCAGGAGGAACACCGGUGGCGAAGGCGGAUCUCUGGGCCGAUACUGACGCUGAGGAGCGAAAGCGUGGGGAGCGAACAGGAUUAGAUACCCUGGUAGUCCACGCCGUAAACGUUGGGAACUAGGUGUGGGCGACAUUCCACGUCGUCCGUGCCGCAGCUAACGCAUUAAGUUCCCCGCCUGGGGAGUACGGCCGCAAGGCUAAAACUCAAAGGAAUUGACGGGGGCCCGCACAAGCGGCGGAGCAUGUGGCUUAAUUCGACGCAACGCGAAGAACCUUACCAAGGCUUGACAUACACCGGAAACGUCUGGAGACAGGCGCCCCCUUGUGGUCGGUGUACAGGUGGUGCAUGGCUGUCGUCAGCUC